CAGACUGCAGGCUGCAACUCGCCUGCACGAAGUCGGAAUUGCUAGUAAUCGUAGGUCAGCAUACUACGGUGAAUACGUUCCCGGGCCUUGUACACACCGCCCGUCAAACCAUGAGAGUUGGCAACACCCGAAGUCGGUAGUCUAACCGCAAGGAGGACGCCGCCGAAGGUGGGGUUGAUGAUUAGGGUUAAGUCGUAACAAGGUAGC
rnacentral:rRNA from 1 species